GACGAACGCUGGCGGCGUGCUUAACACAUGCAAGUCGAACGGUAAGGCCCUUCGGGGUACACGAGUGGCGAACGGGUGAGUAACACGUGGGUGAUCAGCCCUGCACUUCGGGAUAAGCCUGGGAAACUGGGUCUAAUACCGGAUAGGACCACUGCCUGCAUGGGUGGCGGUGGAAAGCUUUUGCGGUGUGGGAUGGGCCCGCGGCCUAUCAGCUUGUUGGUGGGGUGAUGGCCUACCAAGGCGACGACGGGUAGCCGGCCUGAGAGGGUGACCGGCCACACUGGGACUGAGAUACGGCCCAGACUCCUACGGGAGGCAGCAGUGGGGAAUAUUGCACAAUGGGCGCAAGCCUGAUGCAGCGACGCCGCGUGAGGGAUGACGGCCUUCGGGUUGUAAACCUCUUUCAGCACCGACGAAGCGCAAGUGACGGUAGGUGCAGAAGAAGGACCGGCCAACUACGUGCCAGCAGCCGCGGUAA
rnacentral:rRNA from 1 species